rnacentral:tRNA from 1 species
CAGGAGAUAGUUUAACUAGAAUAUCAGCUUUGGGUGCUGAUGGUAGGGUGUGAGCCUUUCUCUUGA